GACGUAGGGCGCGAGCGUUGUCCGGAUUUAUUGGGCGUAAAGAGCUCGUAGGCGGCUUGUCGCGUCGAAUGUGAAAACUUGGGGCUCAACUCCGGAUCUGCGGUGGGUACGGGCAGACUAGAGUGAUGUAGGGGAGACUGGAAUUCCUGGUGUAGCGGUGAAAUGCGCAGGAUAAUCAGGAGGAACACCGAUGGCGAAGGCAGGUCUCUGGGCAUUAACUGACGCUGAGGAGCGAAAGCAUGGGGGAGCGAAACAGG
rnacentral:rRNA from 1 species